GGUGAGGUGGCCGAGUGGGUUUAAGGCGCUCCCCUGCUAAGAGAGUAUGCGAUUAAAACGCAUCGAGGGUUCGAAUCCCUCCCUCGCCG
rnacentral:tRNA from 1 species